GCCAGUGUGGUGUAGUGGUUUAAGCACUGGACUACGACUCUGAAGACCAGAGUUCAAAUCUCCACUCAGCCA